ensembl:snRNA U6 U6 spliceosomal RNA
AUGCUUGCCUUGGUAGCACAUACACUAAAAUUGGAAUGACUCAGAGAAGAUUAUCAGGGUCCUUGCAAAGAAUGACAUGAAUGACAUAAAACUUCAGGAAGCAAUC